CACAGCUCAGGUUUUUCUCCAGAAGCAGGAAGGCAGUGCUGCAGAAAUAAGGAGGGUGUGCAGGGGAAGAGGAAAGUGAGGGAGGAAGUGGUCUCUAUAGAGAAAGCUACCCAGCCCCAGCUUCCAAUCCCAGGGUUCCAGACCACACCAAAGUUUAUAACAGAAGAUGAGACUUCUCAAAGAACAAGCAGGAGAGAGCACAGAAACCAGCACCAUAUGGGAAAGCAGCUGAUCCAGCUGUUGGGCUCACCACCAGCACAGCCACAGAGCAGGUCAGGAAGCCUGCUAGGGAUGUGGAGGAGCAAAGCUAGUUCUAGUGCCUGAGCAGCACAGUCACAGCAGAAGAGCUUGUUACAGCUUCCCUCUUGCACAACAACCUAAACCAAAUCCCCAGCAGGUGCAAGCAAAAAUGAAUCUAAGACAGAGAACUUGAAUGCAAUGAUUUGCAGGCUCUAGCACAAGAAAUGUCUUGGGGUGUGGAUGGGGAGAACUCAAGACAUUAUCUUCCAGGAGCAUUUAGAGCUAAGAAAAGAAUUAACUCCUCUGCCCUAUUUCCCAGUCUGUGCAGGAGCAGCUCAUCUCCUGAGCAGAAAUAUUGAUCAGGUGCAUCUCCCCAGGCAGUGAAGUCCCACAGGGCUCACUCAGUGCCUUGGGGAGGGGAAAGCAGCAGCACCUCUCCCUUUUUGCCAUUACACAACUGUACUUACAGCAGUUGUUUGUGCAGCCAGGAGCACCUACCUGCUUCCAACUAUUUAUAAACCACUGCAGAAACAACUGUGUUUUGUGUCACUGCCUGCCCUAAAUUGCCUGCCCCUCAGCUGAUCAAACAGCACCAAGGCAGAUGAGAAGCACUAGCAUGAAGUCAGAGAGAUAAGUCUGGCUCCUGAACACCCAACUCUGCACUGAAACAGGAGGCCCUGAAGCAAUCCACACUCUGUCAGGGAUAGAACAAAGAGCAGAUUUAAUAUCUUAAAGACAGAACCCACAGGUUUCCUGCAUGCAAACAUACACACACCCAUUGCUGCUAUGAUUGUCUCAAACAGGGAAAAGCUCCAAGAAAUACAGCACCUUCAUACACUUUCUUGUCCGAGAGGAGUAGAUCCUGCCACCCUACUAAGUACUAAAACAAUUUUAAAGUUUUUAGGGACUAAGUACAAAUUUGUUAGAAAAUCUGUCACAUCGCUAUUGGUUGCUUUGAGCAAAACUAAUUGCAAAGACAUUUGACAAGCAGACAGCUAAAUAUUAGAUUUCUUUAUUACUUAGCAGUAGCCAAAAAGGUCUGUAAUCAUUUAUAUGGGCACAGUUCUCAAGCUUAUAAAUUACUGUUAUUUCUGACUCAACUUCCUUUUACUUCAACAAGAAAAAAAGAGGUAAAGAGCAUAGUUUUAAUAAGUGAGUUCUCUCCAGUUUUGACAAAGCACCAUUUUCCUCAUUAACAGCUGCUGCUACAUACAAAGGUGUCAGACUUUUUUUUUUUUUUUCUCUUCUCCAACACCACAGC